rnacentral:rRNA from 1 species
AACGAACGCUGGCGGCAUGCCUAACACAUGCAAGUCGAACGAGACCUUCGGGUCUAGUGGCGCACGGGUGCGUAACGCGUGGGAACCUGCCCUUAGGUUCGGAAUAACUCCCCGAAAGGGGUGCUAAUACCGGAUAAUGUCUUCGGACCAAAGAUUUAUCGCCUUUGGAUGGGCCCGCGUUGGAUUAGCUAGUUGGUAGGGUAAAAGCCUACCAAGGCGACGAUCCAUAGCUGGUCUGAGAGGAUGAUCAGCCACACUGGGACUGAGACACGGCCCAGACUCCUACGGGAGGCAGCAGUGGGGAAUAUUGGACGAUGGGCGAAAGCCUGAUCCAGCAAUGCCGCGUGAGUGAUGAAGGCCUUAGGAUUGUAAAGCUCUUUUACCCGGGAUGAUAAUGACAGUACCGGGAGAAUAAGCUCCGGCUAACUCCGUG